UGCCAGCCGCCGCGGUAAUACGGAGGGUGCAAGCGUUGCUCGGAAUUACUGGGCGUAAAGCGUACGCAGGCGGCUUGUUAAGUCGGAUGUGAAAUCCCGAGGCUCAACCUCGGAACUGCAUUCGAAACUGGCAGACUUGAAUACGGGAGAGGGAAGCGGAAUUCCUGGUGUAGAGGUGAAAUUCGUAGAUAUCAGGAGGAACACCAGUGGCGAAAGCGGCUUUCUGGCCCGAUAUUGACGCUCAUGUACGAAAGCGUGGGGAGCACACAGGAUUAGAUA
rnacentral:rRNA from 1 species